GAUAACCUUUGGACGUCGGGGAACAAAAACAAGUUUUGCAGCUGAGUCAAACCGUUUCUGUAACCUAGGAUUCCCUCACUCAGAUGCCAUGCUAAGGAACAUAGCUUCGAGUCGGCUGUAAUAUUGUUCUGAAGUGCAAAUAAUUAAAUUCAAUAUGCGCAGUGAACGACUAACAGUAACGAGAGUACAAGGGGUCAUUUCCAGCCACCUGGGUUACAGUCUCCAUCCCAGUCACUGCAUCCACUCCUGCAGCAUCUACAGCAUUACCAACACCAUCUGCACACAGAAAUAUUGCAUGAAGUGAAUAAGUGAAAGUAACGUGCGGGUGGAUUAUCCAUUUGCACAUUAUGAGUUCUAGAGACAGAGGUUUUACAAUGUAAUCAUUUAUUUUGUUUAAAAUACUAUCUAAAUACUGCAUCUGGAUGCACUGUAAUGACAUAUACAAGGAAGUCCAUCUGAAAUAUCAUAA